rnacentral:rRNA from 1 species
UUAGCCCUAAACACAGAUAAUUACAUAAACAAAAUUAUUCGCCAGAGUACUACUAGCAACAGCUUAAAACUCAAAGGACUUGGCGGUGCUUUAUAUCCUUCUAGAGGAGCCUGUUCUAUAAUCGAUAAACCCCGAUAAACCUCACCAAUUCUUGCUAAUACAGUCUAUAUACCGCCAUCUUCAGCAAACCCUAAAAAGGAAAAAAAGUAAGCGUAAUUAUGAUACAUAAAAACGUUAGGUCAAGGUGUAACCUAUGAAAUGGGAAGAAAUGGGCUACAUUCUCUACACCAAGAGAAUCAAGCACGAAAGUUAUUAU